AGUGAACGCUGGCGGUAGGCCUAACACAUGCAAGUCGAACGGCAGCACAGCAAGAGCUUGCUCUUACGGGUGGCGAGUGGCGGACGGGUGAGGAAUACAUCGGAAUCUACUUUUUCGUGGGGGAUAACGUAGGGAAACUUACGCUAAUACCGCAUACGACCUACGGGUGAAAGCAGGGGAUCUUCGGACCUUGCGCGAUUGAAUGAGCCGAUGUCGGAUUAGCUAGUUGGCGGGGUAAAGGCCCACCAAGGCGACGAUCCGUAGCUGGUCUGAGAGGAUGAUCAGCCACACUGGAACUGAGACACGGUCCAGACCCCUACGGGAGGCAGCAGUGGGGAAUAUUGGACAAUGGGCGCAAGCCUGAUCCAGCCAUACCGCGUGGGUGAAGAAGGCCUUCGGGUUGUAAAGCCCUUUUGUUGGGAAAGAAAAGCAGCAGGUUAAUACCCCGCUGUUCUGACGGUACCCAAAGAAUAAGCACCGGCUAACUUCGUG
rnacentral:rRNA from 1 species